CCUUGCGGCCGUACUCCCCAGGCGGGGCACUUAAAUGCGUUAGCUGCGGCGCGGAAAACGUGGAAUGUCCCCCACACCUAGUGCCCAACGUUUACGGCAUGGACUACCAGGGUAUCUAAUCCUGUUCGCUCCCCAUGCUUUCGCUCCUCAGCGUCAGUAACAGCCCAGAGACCUGCCUUCGCCAUCGGUGUUCCUCCUGAUAUCUGCGCAUUUCACCGCUACACCAGGAAUUCCGGUCUCCCCUACUGCACUCUAGUCUGCCCGUACCCACCGCAGAUCCGGGGUUAAGCCCCGGACUUUCACGGCAGACGCGACAAACCGCCUACGAGCUCUUUACGCCCAAUAAUUCCGGAUAACGCUCGCGCCCUACGUAUUACCGCGGCUGCUGGCACGUAUUAGCCGGCGCUUCUUCUGCAGGUACCGUCACCCGAAGCUUCUUCCCUACUGAAAGAGGUUUACAACCCGAAGCCGUCAUCCCUCACGCGGCGUCGCUGCAUCAGGCUUGCGCCCAUUGUGCAAUAUUCCCCACUGCUGCCUCCCGUAGGAGUCUGGGCCGUGUCUCAGUCCCAGUGUGGCCGGUCACCCUCUCAGGCCGGCUACCCGUCGUCGCCUUGGUGAGCCAUUACCUCACCAACAAGCUGAUAGGCCGCGAGUCCAUCCAAGACCGAUAAAUCUUUCCACCCCCCACCAUGCGAUAGGAGGUCAUAUCCGGUAUUAGACCCAGUUUCCCGGGCUUAUCCAGAGUCAAGGGAAGGUACUCACGUGUACUCACCGUUCGCACUCAU
rnacentral:rRNA from 1 species